rnacentral:misc_RNA from 1 species
GAUGAAGAACGCAGCGAAAUGCGAUAAGUAGUGUGAAUUGCAGAAUUCAGUGAAUCAUCGAAUCUUUGAACGCACAUUGCGCCCGCCAGCAUUCUGGCGGGCAUGCCUGUUCGAGCGUCAUUUCAACCCUCGACUUCCCUUUGGGGAAAUCGGCGUUGGGGACCGGCUGUAUACCGCCGGCCCCGAAAUGAAGUGGCGGCCCGUCCGCGGCGACCUCUGCGUAGUAAUCCAACUCGCACCGGAACCCCGACGUGGCCACGCCGUAAAACCCCCGACUUCUGAACGUUGACCUCGGAUCAGGUAGGAAUACCCGCUGAACUUAAGCAUAUCAAUAAGCGGAGGA